CACAGUCCUCCUGUGUCUUCUCCAAGCUUCACAUGUAAAAUCCAACAAUGUGAAGCACAUAGCAGCCAGAAACUGUAAUGCCACAGAUCAGAGAAACUUCAUCAUCACCAUCUUCAUCGCCAUACGAUCAGAGCGUGAGACUUCACAUCUGGAGCACAGGAGAGAUUCUGUGAUAAGUCUUCCUUCUAGCUUGUCCCACAAGCAGUCGAGCUGAGACACUCAGGACUGAACAGACUGCACAGUUUCUGUGACUGAGCCUCCAAAACACCUUCUUUGAAACCACUCAUGAUAGAAGGGCUUCAUAUUUGCAGCAGCACUACUACAGUUGGCAGGAAUGUUGCUGCAGGAAAACAUCCCUGGAGAUCACCAUCAUUGUCAGACUGACUGUGCCUCCUCUGUGCAGUGUCAAGAUCCUCCCUAAAUGAGUGUUCCUCAGCUAUCCUGCUUCUGUGCUGCUUGCCACACAUCAAACACUGGCCGGAUGACAGGGAGGAUCCACUCUGAAGUCACUGGACAUGAUGAGGAUCAUAUGGGACUUCAUAGUUUCACA